UGCCUCUAUUAUGAUGAUCACUUUUACUAGGACUAUUAAUUGAUUAUUUAUUGCUACUACUAUUAUUAUCACAGUUGAUUGCAAAUGAAUAUCCAUGACACCUCAGACAAAAGUGCCUGAUCUGAUCCGUAUAAACUCUCAACCUGAUUCUCCUGAUCGUCUAGAUUGGUCAGCACCAGGGUUGGGGUCAAUUACAUUUAAAUUCCAGUCAAUUCAGAAAGUAAAUCCAACUACACAUUUUUCUCAGUAUUUCCACUGCUGGCCACUGACUGUGUUACUGAAUGCUGUCCAGUUAAUUCAUUCAUGUUAUUCUCCUGAUCUCUUCCUUCACUCUAACGAAUCUUGUGAUGGGCUGUUUUGAUUUCUCUCCCCCCUUUUCCAAUCCACUUCCUGUUGCACACUUCCUGUUGCACUGCAUGAUGGGCAUUUGAGCAGGCUCAAUAUUCUGCAUGACCCCCACCACCGGUGUUGUACCCAUGAUGCACGGUGGUACGCCAGCAUCUGCAGCCACCACAUCUGCCACAAGCGUUCCCUUCGCAACCACCUCAGCCAAUCAGUUGUCUACCAAUGAGUACAUGCAAUUGAUUCCAAUCAUUUCUGCCGAUCAUCUGAGUAACCACAAGUAUCUGACUCAAAUGUAGUCAAGAACAAUCAAAUGAAUGGUUGAUGGCACCGCCCUAAAGAGUGCAGUCUUUAUGUAAAUAGUGUUCAGAAUGUCAAGCAAUGGACUGGAGGACCAUCGGUCAUCAUCUCUCAGUCACUCUGGAAUGCUGGUCUUGUUACGCAUGCAAACAUCGGUGUGCUCAGUCGAUGCCAUGACACACACACACACACACACACACCUCUUCGUCCUCAAAGUCAACGUCCAGCUGAGAAGAGGAGUGUCUGUCUGUCUGUCCAUCUCUGCUGACAGACAGACGCUGAAUACAUUAACAGUACACCUGUGUGUUCAAACACAAAACCAUGGCACUCAAAUUAUUAUUAUUCUUUUUUUGCACACACAUGAGGUUGAGACCGAGGUGCUGCUGCACAGAGCCUACAUAAUACAGUGUUGGUAUGUUGGUAGACCAAGACAGAAUGUUUUAUUCGCUUUGUUCUGUUUUUAAAUUAAUCGACUUAAAACAUUUGCAAACGUGCCCCUUUAAAUUUGAAUUUAAAUCAGAAAGGCACAAUACAUUUGAAUUAAAAGGUGAAACGUCAGAGCAUGUACAGUUUUCUGUUUUUAAUAAGACUUCUAGUUAAACUAGAUACUAAAAUGAGGGUCAGAGACAUAUGAAUGUUCUGGGUAAGAAACGCACCUGUGUACCUUUUGAAUGCAUAGCUUUAAGCACCAUAGAGGCCGUACAUCCCAAGCCAGAGUGUUAUUUCAGCAGUGUUAUUCUGUUUACCUAAGAUAUGUGUUUUGUAUGGCUCAAGUUUAGAUUUUUUACAUAAUUUCUUCAUUGUCUAUUUAAGUAAUAAGGCCCGAGGAGGUGUGGUAUAUGGCCAAUAUACC